rnacentral:rRNA from 1 species
UUCGGACUGGGAGCGUACACAGGUGCUGCAUGGCUGUCGUCAGCUCGUGUCGUGAGAUGGUUGGGUUAAGUCCCGUAACGAGCGCAACCCUUGUCCUUAGUUACCAGCACGUUAUGGUGGGCACUCUAAGGAGACUGCCGGUGACAAACCGGAGGAAGGUGGGAUGACGUCAAGUCAUCAUGGCCCUUACGGCCUGGGCUACACACGUGCUACAAUGGUCGGUACAAAGGGUUGCCAAGCCGCGAGGUGGAGCUAAUCCCAUAAAACCGAUCGUAGUCCGGAUCGCAGUCUGCAACUCGACUGCGUGAAGUCGGAAUCGCUAGUAAUCGUGAAUCAGAAUGUCACGGUGAAUACGUUCCCGGGCCUU